rnacentral:snoRNA from 15 species
CCCCAAUGAGGAAACAAUCACGUCUUACCUCCUGUCCUAGCCCCAGAACCUGAAAAGGUGAACCAACUGGGGCUGGCUGGGGGAGGAGAGGAGAACUUGUUCCAGAAGGAACUGUCUGAGGGGU